GAGAGAGGCUCAGCGUUUGGUCUUCAGAGUGUGCAUUGGAGGACUGUAAAAUGUAAAUCCUGGAGACAUUUGCACUCUUUACUGAUGCCUUCCCCUUGUGUGAAUGGGGUUACCUUUAGGCUUAGUGGCAACAGAGUGGUACUGGCAUGGAGUUCAACCACCUCAGGAUAGGAAUACACAGAGGCACAUUAUCCUGCAGAAACAUUGCGCAAUACCGCUGAGAGAAUUGUCAACAAGCUGUACCAAAUCUAACUUCACUGAAGAAAGCAAGUGAGUGUGAAGCAGAUCACAGCAGCUGACUCUCUGGGAAAUUUGUAGUUUAUGUUGAUCCUGAGAGAAUGAGAGAGUCUGUCAGAUGAAGGAGUUUCUCUCCACUCAUUCACCUCAGGGGCAGGCAGAGAGAAGUGGAGCUCUCUUAUUCCCCUCUUUUACACUCCUAUACUCUAAGGGGCUGUACGGUCAUGAAUUUCAGAGUAUUAGUAAUUUCCUCUACUGUAUAUGCUGAUGAUGAAGAAGAAAGUGAUGACGAACAGACAAACCUGUAGCAUUACCUACGUGCCUCUCUUUGUCAUUCAAACGAGGUCUCUAUGUUUCUUCCUAGGUUUUGGCCUUUUCCUAGCCACUGUGCUUCUACACCUUAAUUGCUUGCUGUUUGGGGUUUUAGGCUGGGUUUCUGUACAGCACUUUGAGAUAUCAGCUGAUAUACAAAGGGCUAUAUAAAUACAUUUGAUUUGAUUUGAAACGAGCAGUUGUAUACAGUUUAGAUAAUUUUAUACCCCGAGAACACAGAUGUAUCCUUUUCCAUUUGU